UACGGAGGGGGCUAGCGUUGUUCGGAAUUACUGGGCGUAAAGCGCACGUAGGCGGCUUUGUAAGUUAGAGGUGAAAGCCCAGGGCUUAACCCUGGAAUUGCCUUUAAGACUGCAUCGCUAGAAUCGUGGAGAGGUGAGUGGAAUUCCGAGUGUAGAGGUGAAAUUCGUAGAUAUUCGCAAGAACACCAGUGGCGAAGGCGGCUCACUGGCCCGGAACUGACGCUGAGACGCGAAAGCGUGGGGAGCGAACCGG
rnacentral:rRNA from 1 species